UACGUAGGGUGCAAGCAUUAAUCGGAAUUAUUGGGCGUAAAGGGCGCGUAGGCGGAUAGUCAAGUCGUGUGUGAAAUUUCGAGGCUCAACCUCGAAGCGGCACAUGAAACUCACUAUCUUGAGGGUAGACGGAGAGAACGGAAUUCCACAAGUAGCGGUGAAAUGCGUAGAUAUGUGGAAGAACACCGGUGGCGAAGGCGGUUCUCUAGUUUAUUCCUGACGCUGAGGCGCGAAAGCAAGGGGAGCAAACAGG
rnacentral:rRNA from 1 species